AUUGAACGCUGGCGGCAUGCCUUACACAUGCAAGUCGAACGGUAACAGGUCUUCGGAUGCUGACGAGUGGCGAACGGGUGAGUAAUACAUCGGAACGUGCCCGAUCGUGGGGGAUAACGCAGCGAAAGCUGUGCUAAUACCGCAUACGAUCUACGGAUGAAAGCGGGGGAUCGCAAGACCUCGCGCGGACGGAGCGGCCGAUGGCAGAUUAGGUAGUUGGUGGGAUAAAAGCUUACCAAGCCGACGAUCUGUAGCUGGUCUGAGAGGACGACCAGCCACACUGGGACUGAGACACGGCCCAGACUCCUACGGGAGGCAGCAGUGGGGAAUUUUGGACAAUGGGGGAAACCCUGAUCCAGCCAUGCCGCGUGCAGGAUGAAGGCCUUCGGGUUGUAAACUGCUUUUGUACGGAACGAAAAGGUCCUUUCUAAUAAAGAGGGCUCAUGAC
rnacentral:rRNA from 1 species